UACGAGGGGGGCAAGUGUUGUUCGGAUUUACUGGGCGUAAAGGGCGCGUAGGCGGCAGAUCAAGUCAGCUGUGAAAUCUCCGAGCUUAACUCGGAACUGUCAGCUGAUACUGUUUUGCUAGAGUGCGGAAGGGGCAAUCGGAAUUCUUGGUGUAGCGGUGAAAUGCGUAGAUAUCAAGAGGAACACCUGAGGUGAAGACGGGUUGCUGGGCCGACACUGACGCUGAGUGCGCGAAAGCCAGGGGAGCAAACGGG
rnacentral:rRNA from 1 species